rnacentral:rRNA from 1 species
UGCAAGUCGCACGAGAAAGUGGAGCAAUCCAUGAGUACAGUGGCGUACGGGUGAGUAACACGUGGGUAAUCUGCCUCUUAGUGGGGAAUAACUCUGGGAAACCGGAGCUAAUACCGCAUAAGCCUGGAAAGGGAAAGCAGCAAUGCGCUGAGAGAGGAGCCCGCGGCCGAUUAGCUAGUUGGUAGGGUAAAGGCCUACCAAGGCAAUGAUCGGUAGCCGGCCUGAGAGGGCACACGGCCACACUGGCACUGAAACACGGGCCAGACUCCUACGGGAGGCAGCAGUGGGGAAUCUUGCACAAUGGGGGCAACCCUGAUGCAGCGACGCCGCGUGAGCGAUGAAGCCCUUCGGGGUGUAAAGCUCUUUCGGCAGGAACGAUAAUGACGGUACCUGAAGAAGAAGCUGCGGCUAACUACGUGCCAGCAGCCGCGGUAAUACGUAGGCAGCAAGCGUUGUUCGGAGUUACUGGGCGUAAAGAGUGUGUAGGCUGUUCUCUAAGUUUGGUGUGAAAUCUCCCGGCUCAACUGGGAGGGUGCGCCGAAAACUGGAGGGCUCGAGUAUGGGAGAGGAAAGCGGAAUUCCUGGUGUAGCGGUGAAAUGCGUAGAUAUCAGGAGGAACACCUGCGGUGUAGACAGCUUUCUGGACCAUCACUGACGCUGAGACACGAAAGCGUGGGUAGCAAACAGGAUUAGAUACCCUGGUAGUCCACGCCCUAAACGAUGCAUACUUGGUGUGAGCCGUUCAUUCGGUUCGUGCGGACUAACGCGUUAAGUAUGCGCCUGGGGAGUACGUCGCAGGCUGAAACUCAAAGAUGACGGGGGCCCGCACAAGCGGUGGACAUG